AGAGUUUGAUCCUGGCUCAGGAUGAACGCUGGCGGCGUGCCUAAUACAUGCAAGUCGAACGAAUCUCUUUUAGAGAUGAGUGGCGAACGGGUGAGUAAUACAUAGGUAACCUGCCCCUGUGCGGGGGAUAACAGGAGGAAACUCCUGCUAAUACCGCAUAGCCAUGAGCACCGCAUGGAGCUCAUGCCAAAUAUCCUUUCGGGGAUAGCGCAGGGAUGGACCUAUGGCGCAUUAGCUGGUUGGCGGGGCAACGGCCCACCAAGGCAACGAUGCGUAGCCGGCCUGAGAGGGCGGACGGCCACAUUGGGACUGAGACACGGCCCAGACUCCUACGGGAGGCAGCAGUAGGGAAUUUUCGGCAAUGGGGGAAACCCUGACCGAGCAACGCCGCGUGAGCGAAGAAGGCCUUCGGGUCGUAAAGCUCUGUUGUAAAGGAAGAACGGCGCAUACAAGAAAUGGUAUGCGAGUGACGGUACUUUACCAGAAAGCCACGGCUAACUACGUGCCAGCAGCCGCGGUAAUACGUAGGUGGCGAGCGUUAUCCGGAAUCAUUGGGCGUAAAGAGGGAGCAGGCGGCCGCAAGGGUCUGUGGUGAAAGACCGAAGCUAAACUUCGGUAAGCCAUGGAAACCGGGCGGCUAGAGUGCGGAAGAGGAUCGUGGAAUUCCAUGUGUAGCGGUGAAAUGCGUAGAUAUAUGGAGGAACACCAGUGGCGAAGGCGACGGUCUGGGCCGCAACUGACGCUCAUUCCCGAAAGCGUGGGGAGCAAAUAGGAUUAGAUACCCUAGUAGUCCACGCCGUAAACGAUGGUCACUAAGUGUCGGGGGUCAAACCCCGGUGCUGCAGUCAACGCAAUAAGUGACCCGCCUGAGUAGUACGUUCGC
rnacentral:rRNA from 1 species